rnacentral:rRNA from 1 species
CAAUAGCGUAUAUUAAAGUUGUUGCGGUUAAAAAGCUCGUAGUUGGAUUUCUGUUGGGAACGACCGGUCCGCCCAUUGGGUGUGUAUCUGGCUUGUUCUCGGCAUCUUCUUGGUGAACGUUGCUGCACUUGACUGUGUGGAGCGCUACCCAGGACUUUUACUUUGAGGAAAUUAGAGUGUUUCAAGCAGGCAUAUGCCUUGAAUACAUUAGCAUGGAAUAAUAAGAUAGGACCUCGGUUCUAUUUUGUUGGUUUCUAGAGCUGAGGUAAUGAUUAAUAGGGAUAGUUGGGGGCAUUCGUAUUUAACUGUCAGAGGUGAAUUUCUUGGAUUUGUUAAAGACGGACUACUGCGAAAGCAUUUGCCAAGGAUGUUUUCAUUGA